rnacentral:rRNA from 1 species
UACGGAGGGUGCGAGCGUUGUCCGGAAUCAUUGGGCGUAAAGGGCGCGUAGGUGGCCCGGCAAGCGUGCGGUGAAAGUCGGGGGCUCAACCCCCGAUCGGCCGUGCGAACUGCGGGGCUGGAGCACUGUAGAGGCAGGCGGAAUUCCGGGUGUAGCGGUGGAAUGCGUAGAGAUCCGGAAGAACACCGGUGGCGAAGGCGGCCUGCUGGGCAGUAAAGGGGAAACCCGCUGACACUGAGGCGCGACAGCGUGGGGAGCAAACAGG